UCUCCGUAGGUGAACCUGCGGAGGGAUCAUUACAGAGUUCAUGGCCUACAGGGUAGAUCUCCCACCCUACGUGAUUAUUACUUUGUUGCUUUGGCGCGCCGUUAGGCUCCGCCCCGACUAACAGCCCCGGCUGGUAAGCGCCCGCCAGAGUACUCAAAACCCUGACUAUUAGUGUCGUCUUAAUACUAUAUACUAGUUAAAACUUUCAACAACGGAUCUCUUGGUUCUG
rnacentral:misc_RNA from 1 species